rnacentral:misc_RNA from 1 species
AACGCAUAUUGCGCUCCCUGGUAUUCCGGAGAGCAUGCUUGUUUGAGUAUCAGUAAACACCCUCAGAUCUUUCAUUUUUUAUUGAAGGAUUUGGAUUUGAGUGAUCCUAACGUGGCUUUUUUCUUCAAAGUCAUGGCAGGUCGCUUGAAAUGCAGGUGCAGCUGAACUUUCUUCUGAGCUAAAAGCAUAUUUAUUUAGUCCUGCCCUGUCGCUGGAUUAUUACUUUUGCUGCAGCUAAUAUAAAGGUUGACUGUUUCAAAUUGCUGACUGAUGCAGGAAUUUAACAGUUUUUUCGCUUAAGGCGAAAACUGUGAAUCUCGAUCUCAAAUCAAGUAAGACUACCCGCUGAACUUAA